rnacentral:rRNA from 1 species
UGAACGCUGGCGGUAGGCCUAACACAUGCAAGUCGAACGGCAGCACAGUAAGAGCUUGCUCUUACGGGUGGCGAGUGGCGGACGGGUGAGGAAUACAUCGGAAUCUACUUUUUCGUGGGGGAUAACGUAGGGAAACUUACGCUAAUACCGCAUACGACCUACGGGUGAAAGCAGGGGAUCUUCGGACCUUACGCGAUUGAAUGAGCCGAUGUCGGAUUAGCUAGUUGGCGGGGUAAAGGCCCACCAAGGCGACGAUCCGUAGCUGGUCUGAGAGGAUGAUCAGCCACACUGGAACUGAGACACGGUCCAGACUCCUACGGGAGGCAGCAGUGGGGAAUAUUGGACAAUGGGCGGAAGCCUGAUCCAGCCAUACCGCGUGGGUGAAGAAGGCCUUCGGGUUGUAAAGCCCUUUUGUUGGGAAAGAAAAGCAGCAGGUUAAUACCCCGCUGUUCUGACGGUACCCAAAGAAUAAGCACCGGCUAACUUCGUG